UCUGUAGCGACGUCCUUAAGAAGUGUUUCUGUCUCUUCUUCUUCCCAUCCACUCGCGUUCAAUAUAUUUGAAAUAUUUUUAACUUUCUCUUCCUGCUCCCUCUUUCCAUUCCGGCAACGGUCAGGCUGCAUACCGAGUUUGGAUGUUUAGAAGUGUUGAGCGUCAUGAGUAAUUGAGAUUAGCUUUGUUAUCAGUUUCAGAGGGUGAUGGUUAGAAUUUGUGUUCGUAUGCCUUUUUAAAAAAACUAAGUUGAUUGGAUGUUAUUUUACUCAGUGGUGCCCAUUUCUGCAAGUACAUAGAAAGGAAGGGAGUAGCUAAAAAGUGAAUGUUGUUCCUUCAGGGAUGAGACUAGCGAAUUAAUGAUGGGAAUGAAGAAAUAUGUAUGUUGAAAAGUAUUUUGUAUCAACCUUUUACAGUAAAAGUCAUAAAAUUUCAGUAAUGGGAGAAAAUUGAGGGCAAAAGGGAUGUAGAAACUUGAAAAGGUUUAAAACUUCAACUUGCAAAGUUGAAGUGCUAAUGCUCACUGUUACACUGGACCAAUGGCCUGCAUCCGUAUGAUCUUAAAAGAGGUCCUAUCAAGUAGGCCAGAUUUCCUGGGUAUCGAGGAACAGCAUGAACUAACGUUCCACCGAUACUGAGGAUGACUUUCUUCCAAUCUGGUGUUGUGGGUCCUGAAGUGACUAAACAGGCUGCUGCAUCUGCACACCCUGCUACAGAUGGGACAAGUGGUGUUUAAAGAGGUGGAGGGAUGGGUGCUCAAGUGUUCGCAUGCUGUUUUGGUUCUUUGCACUUGGCCUUUACCUGAGCCUGUCACAGAUGCUCAGGAUGGUUGGCACCUUUGUAUUGCUGCUUCUCCAGUCUGGGUGGUCUUGAGCAAGAGAUUCCCAUCGAGUCAGUGGGCAUGUUUUUUUUUUAAUUUCUUCCAUAAGAAAACUUUGAGGGCAUCGUUCAAAAAUUCCUUCUGCCCUGGAGAACUGUUUGCUGAGACAGAGCUCAGGGUAAAGACCCACUUUUGGAUGUCUUCUGUCAGGUGUACAGAUGGUGUGACUGGCUCAGCACAUCUUAUUGUCAGUAACCAUUACCUCUGUUACCCCAAGAGAGGGCACUGAUACUGGAGUACAUGUCCUGCAAUUUGACUUACAGCGGGAUUUUGUACAAAAUUGCAAUGGUCAACACCAUAUGUUUCCUGACCUCUAAUAUCAGUCAUGGCUGAAGAAGUUCUGGAGUUUGAUUUACGUUCAGCACAGUGAGUUAUUCAAGUUGUAGGACGUGACUGGGAGAGGACUAAACCUCAAGUUGAAAGUCUAAUCUGCCUAACAUAUCACCACAAGUCCAGCUUCAGUGUUCAAGUGAACAAUGCGAUAUUUGAAGAUACAUAUUUGGAUUGAAAAUUUGAAUGAAAGCUAAAGGUGCCCUUUCAAUGAAAUUAUGGAUGCCCAGGAUGCUAUGAUCCAGUGACUGUACAGAAGAUCUUUAGGUAUAUGGCCAUCUUUCAUCAAUUAAUGUGGCUGAGCCAACAUAAACGUUAUUGGUGUAGCAAUGAUUGUAUGCAAUUGGAAUUGCCACACUCUAGGAUCUUUGCGUUGGUGACCCUGUCCUGCCAAGACAUACUGGGGAUGUAUCCGAGACAAUGAAGGUGGAAACUGCUCAGCCUUUUGACAGUGGUGAGAAAAAGCUGAACAUAUUACUUGCACAUUUCUUAUCACAGCGGAGGCUUGUAUAGUUGAGCAGUAGCUUCAUUUUCUGAGGCAGGCCAGCUUUAAUGUGCAAUGAAGUCUCCUUUAAACUGGCUUAUAACAAUCACCAGCAACAUUUCAGGUUAUCAGUCUCCAUCCAGACAAAUCGCUGAACCAGCCUAGAGGUAAGGAAACAUCAAAUAAUCUACAUUGGUGUCAGAGUUUUUCAAACUUGCUGAGAACAAGCCAUCUCUCAUAACUGCCCCAAUCCCUCCAGCCAGCCCUUGGGAGUUUCAAUACCCAGGCAUCCAUCCUGUUUCAAAGAACCAUUUCGUAAAGUGAGGAUUUUCUUAACCACCAAACCACAUUGGCUAUUGCUUUCUGUAUUAAGCAUAUACAGAACCAGUACAGGGGUAUGGGAAAAUGGACAUGUGACUCAUUCGUUGAAUUAACAUGCUCCUGUUUGUCAACAUGCAAUUUAUAGAAUUUUAAGUUUAUUUUGGAGACCUUCAAUAGCAAAUCAAUGUCUGCAUUCAGGUACAUUAAAGUCAUGUUUCACUGUAAGACAGUAAGGCAAAAUUCACUUCACAACAUUGAGACAGAAGGAAAUGGAGUUUCGUUGGUACUUCGCAGGUGAAAUCUGCAUUCAUCAAAACAUGGAAUUAAAAGAAAGCUGAAUGGCUACCAUGCAACCAUUAUCAAUUAUCAUAAAAACCCAUCUGGCUCACUAGUGUCCUUUUUAGGAGAGGAAAUCUUUCAUCCUUACCUGGUCAGGCCUGAAUGUGUUGCCAGACCCACAGCAGUGUGGUUGAUUCAUAAAUGCCCUCUGUGCAAUUAGCGAUGGGUGAUAAAUAUUGACGCGGCCAGUGGUGUCCACAAUCGUGGAUUAAUUUUUUUAAAUCCUUUUGAGACUGUGGGCAAUGAAAUUUUGCUUGUGCUUUGGGCCAAGUUGGGAUACCCUCUUCAAAUUGAGCACCAAAUCUAUUCAAGAGAAUUGAGUUUAAAAUCAUCAGUCAUCAAUUAAAAGCAUCAAUUAAUUGCUAAUUUAAAUGGGUGUCAAUUUUAGCCAUUACUACAAAGUCUUAUGAAAAGUGAUUUAUAACUUAAAAUAAGAUUUGUAUCAUGCUUUUCGCAACAACCAGGUGUCCAGAAUUGUUUUCUAACUGGAUAAAGUGCUCUUGUUUUGGAGGUUAUUCACCAUUGGAGUGUAAGAGAGAUGUCAGCCAAUUUGGAAAGAGCUGCCUCCCACAAAUAGUAAUGUGAUAAUGACCAAAUUAUCUGCUUUUGCGAUAUUGAUUGAAGAAUAAACUUUGUCAGGACACAU